AACCAGUCUUUUUCAAUUCUAUAAAGUAUCAAUCGGAGCUGUGUUUCAGCCUAACUACUGUAUUCUUCACAAACUAGUUGGGUUUCUUGUUCAGACAGACUGACAGAGAGAGAUGCCGCCGGGAUGGGGACCUGGACCAGGAGGGCUACCUCCAUCUCCUUUUGGGUGUUUCGGUUUCCUUUGUGAUGGGAUAUGCAGACUCAUAUCGUCAUGCUUUUAUGUACUGUGUUGUUGCUGCAUCCUACAAGAAUGCUGUGGACCAUUCUUUGGUGGACCCCCUGGUCCUGGUGGCCCACCUCCACGUCCCUUUUGAUCGGGAAGCUCUUUCAAUCUAUUGUGUAUUGAUUACUGUUUCGGUGCAUGUAUGUUUAUGGAAUAAAAUGGGUAGGAAUGAAGUUUUAAUUUGUGUGUUUAUGUUCAUGUCAAAUGCACCACUUAAUAAGGUAUGAAAUAAAGUUUACACAAAAAAUUUGAAGUAUUCAAAUUGAAAUUUACCAACCGAGGGUUGGUUCGUUGGUGUAUUCUGUAUUAGCUUAGCUGGUUCGUUGGUGUAUGCUUAUACACAGACAAUAAUUAAAUUAGCCCUGUAUUAGGAAUAUCUCUCCAUGAAUGAUAACAGAGAUGAAUGUGCAUUUGUUGCUCUA